AUGUCGGACCAUUGCCCACUCCUCCUUAUCAACGAGGGUUUGCUUAGAAAACUGAGAAGGUUCCGUUUUGAGGAGUACUGGAGAUUCUUGCCUGGGUUUAAGGAAGUGGUGACAGCUGCGUGGAAUUUGCCGGUUGGCAGUGCUGAUCCUAUCAAUGCAAUUAACAUCAAGCUUCGAAGGGUAGGGAAAUACCUAUCCACUUGGAGCAAAUGUAUCGUGGGAAGCCUGACCAGGCAAUUUGACCUAGUGCAUGAGCUUGCGCUGCGGCUGGACAUGGCUCAGGAUAGUCAGCAAUUGUCCGAGGCGUAGGUCGCCCUUCGCGCGGCUCUGAAGUCGCGACACCUGGGACUAGCUGUGCUCAUCCGCAUCAAGCAAAAGCAAUGGUCUCAUGUGCGUUGGCUGCGCGCCACGGACGCCAACAUGAAGUUCUUUAACAUCAAAGCCAACUCCAGAGCCAAAAAGAAUGAGAUCCAUUCGUUGGUUGAUGUGGAUGGUUCCAUGGUGGUUGAGCAAGACAAGAUCAUGGAACUGGUGGCAAGCCACUUUGAGGGCAUCCUGGGCUCUCCGGCUGAUUCCUCGGCUAAGAUCAAUUGGGGGAUUUUGAAUUUGGAACACCAUAACCUUCAGGAGUUGGAGGUGCCUUUCACUCUUGCUGAAAUCAAAGAGGCUGUCUGA
rnacentral:rRNA from 1 species